CGUCGUUUUGAAUUAAAUGCUGACGAGAUAAAAUACCGCAGUUCGUAUUCGAUUUUUUUAAAACUCAAAGUAACAAUCAUAAAAAAAAGUGAUUUUUAUAAGUGAAGAUGGCUUUUGUAGCAUCAGAUUUAAAGAAUUUGUUUAAGAUCAAGUUUAAGGCUCGCUAUGAUCCUCUUACUGAUCGAUAUAACCGAAUGUUUAUGGUAAAGCUCUUAAUGGCUUGUACUAUAGUUACUGGAUUGAACUGGUAUGCAGAUAAAGUUCAUUGCAUUGUUUCAGGAGAACAAGAUCCUGGUGGUUUAAACCUUU
rnacentral:lncRNA from 1 species